rnacentral:rRNA from 1 species
GAUGAACGCUGGCGGCGUGCCUAAUACAUGCAAGUCGAGCGAACGGACGAGAAGCUUGCUUCUCUGAUGUUAGCGGCGGACGGGUGAGAAACACGUGGAUAACCUACCUAUAAGACUGGGAUAACUUCGGGAAACCGUAGCUAAUACCGGAUAAUAUUUUGAACCGCAUGGUUCAAAAGUGAAAGACGGUCUUGCGGUCACUUAUAGAUGGAUCCGCGCUGCAUUAGCUAGUUGGUAAGGUAACGGCUUACCACGGCAACGAUGCGUAGCCGAGCUGAGAGGGUGAUCGGCCACACUGGAACUGAGACACGGUCCAGACUCCUACGGGAGGCAGCAGUAGGGAAUCUUCCGCAAUGGGCGAAAGCCUGACGGAGCAACGCCGCGUGAGUGAUGAAGGUCUUCGGAUCGUAAAACUCUGUUAUUAGGGAAGAACAUAUGUGUAAGUAACUGUGCACAUCUUGACGGUACCUAAUCAGAAAGCCCCGGCUAACUACGUG